rnacentral:lncRNA from 1 species
GUAAAUCUCUAAAUUUUUUCCAAGUUUCAUGAAAUUCUUCCCCAUCAGAUUGGGAGAAGCUCGUGAUAGCACGCCUAAAUUGGUUUGUUCUUCUUAUGAAAAAAUAUUUCUUCAGAAAUUCAUGUUGCAUUUGAGCCCAUGAAAGAAUGGAAUUGGCUUCUAAUGAAUGGAGCCACUGCUUAGCUCUAUCCUUAAGAGAAAAAGGGAAUAGUCUAAGUUUCAGAGCAUCAUCAGUAAAGUUCUGAAUUUUGACAGUGGUGCAGAUCUCAAGGAACUCAUCUAAAUAUUUGUAUGGGUCUUCAUUGUUAAGUCCAUAAAAAAAGGAAGCAUUUGGAUGACACUAGACUUAAUCUCAAACUGUACAGCAGCAGUGGUAUCAGGUAGUCGAAUACAAGAUGGAGAGGUAUAAAUGGAAGGAGUGAAGUACUCCUUUAACAGCUUGGGUUGUUCUUCAGCCAUCUCGAUAGGUGGAGCAGAUCCUAUGGUUCUAUAGGUGCGGAUUUCAGCUCGAAGGGCCCUAAUAGAACGCUCUAUCUCAGAAUCAAAAGGUACUAAUUCAGAAGAUCUGGACCGACACCCUAGCAUACACUAAUAUUUUUCUAAUCAGUCAAGUGCGGUAAAUCAUGCAUUAAAAGAAAAACACAUCAAUUCCUUAUGUUUACCCUAAAAUCACUAGACAGCUCCUAACUGGUUUGAAGAGGGCAUCUAAGCCUCCAAUCUGGUCUAAUGAACUGAGUUGACCAGGUAAGCUCCCAGGUAAGUGGGGGGGUCACGAUUCGUUCGCAAAGGUCCCACUUAAAAAUCACUUGCCUCGAACAGAUGAACUGUCUCCCUUAAAGGGACAAAGAUUGCCUAGACAUCAGCUGAGCCACAGAGCGAAAUUGGUGUAACUUUCGGUGAUCUUCGUCCUAUUGAGCUCGAAUGUCCCUAGGAGCCAACGUCUAAUUGAUUUUAAUUAAAGUGAUAGCUAUGUGUGAAUUGGUUCACCUAAUUUGGGCAAGAAUCUGGUGAUGAAAUCCAGUUCUUAUCUUGUUGGGGUGAUUGCCCUUACUAUGUGCGGAUUAAUUGGUGUAUGUGUAUCAAGCAUGCAUUCACACUUUUACUGAACUUAAAAUCAAACAAUCACCACAAAAUUUCAAGCAAACUGGGAAUCAAUUUAAAUAAGAAAGGUUUAGAGGUUACCAACGGGAAUUUUCCCAGCAAAUUUUUUUUUAUUUUUAGGCAAACCUCUACAGCAUUCCUUUUUCAGCAGUUUCCUUUUUGAUCGUCCCAGAUUUCCUCUUUCAUUUCUG